GGAAGCCUAGAAGAGAGGCCAAAGAGGACAAUAUUUGCUAACGGUGGACUUGGACUGUUACAAAUGGUAUCCGAGCCAGAUACCGGGCGUUGUGCUAGACAAUAUUUACUAGCGGUGAAUUUGAGCU